GCCUGCCCCUGAAGCUCUGGAAAAGCAACAGAAGGCUGCAUGGAGAGGCCAGGAGAACAUGCACAGACUCGGUGGCCAGAGGGGCCACCAAUAGGUGACCCCACCCCCGGGGGUCUGCUGUGCCCUGGCCUCGGUGCUGGCUGGGAAGAAACAGGAUGUCUCCAAACCGUGCCUCCUCCGUGGGAGAGGCACCCUGUCCCGGCUCCCCAGGACCUGCCCGAGACCCUCCUGGGAUUACCCAGGACCUGCCUGAGACCCUCCUGGGAUUACCCAGGACCUUCCGGAGACCCUCCUGGGAUUAAGUUGCAGUGUAUCCUGGUGGGGACAUGCUGGCCCAGUGACAAAGGGGCCACAGCCCGAAGGAGCCCGGGACCCGCAGCCGUGCCCAGCCAGAUAAGCUGCAUGCGGCGGCUGGCGGAGAGCUCACGGGUUGUGGGCCGUUUUCUGAGGACUAGGACCCCAAGAGGCGGUGUCCUCUGCUGCUCUGUUUCACGGCCCAGAGGCUCCUGGAGUGUGGGACACAUGUGAGGAGGGGUGAAUGUCAGAACAGCCAUCGCAGACAGGGGCUGAAAGGCCUGUGACACCACAGAUCCCAGCCGUCCUCUGGAACUGAGAGUGGGGGAUGGUCACAGCACUGGACUGGCUGACAGGGACGGGGGUGAUGGCCAGGCAGCAGCAUUUGACCAUCAGUGGCUGUGGAGGCAGCUCUCUAAUGAGUUGCAGGGCUGGAGCGGGCCCAGGGUCAGAGCUGCGUGGGGUUGUGGAGGUGGCUGAUAGAACACCAUGUUCCUGGGAGAGGGACAGGCAGCCCACAAGAGACUGCUCAGCUUGUUGGAGCAAAAUAAAUCAGGGUUAUGUGAUGCGGAGGCCAAGGGCACUCACUCCAGUAAAAAGUCAUGGCCGGU
rnacentral:lncRNA from 1 species